ACAUAGUCCUCUUUUGUUAAUUAGAUAAUACAGUACAAUCCUAAACUCACUCAGAGUUUAGGAUUGUACUCUAUUAUCUAAUUAACAAAAGAGGACAAUGU